rnacentral:tRNA from 1 species
GUGCCCAUCGAUUAGUGGUUAAAUCACCUCGUUGUGGCCGAGGAGCCCGGUGUUCGACUCACUGUGGGCACA